UACGGAGGUGGCAAGCGUUGUUCGGAUUGAUUGGGUGUAAAGGGUGUGUAGGCGUCCUGGUAAGUCGAAUGUGAAAUCCCACAGCUCAACUGUGGAACUGCAUUCGAAACUGCCGGGAUUGAGUACGGAAGGGGAGAAUGGAAUUCCCGGUGUAAGGGUGAAAUCUGUAGAUAUCGGGAGGAACACCAGUGGCGAAGGCGAUUCUCUGGUCCGAUACUGACGCUGAGACACGAAAGCUAGGGGAGCAAACAGGAUUAGAUACCCCUGUA
rnacentral:rRNA from 1 species